AUGAUAACUAAUUUAUUUUCUAUUUUUGAUCCUAUAAACUCAAAUAAUUUAUCUUUAAAUUGAAUUAGAACUAUAUUAGGACUAUUAUUUAUUCCAAAUAUAUUUUGAAUAAUUCCGUCCCGAUACAAUAUAAUUUGAUUAAAAAUUAUUAUAACACUUCAUAAUGAAUUUAAAUUACUUAUAAAAUUUAAUCCUAUAGGAAGGACUUUUAUAUUUAUUAGAUUAUUUUCAUUUAUUUUAUUUAAUAAUUUUUUAGGUUUAUUUAAUUAUAUUUUUACAAGAACUAGUCAUUUAACUUUAACUUUAAGAUUAAGACUUCCUUUAUGAUUAAGAUUUAUAUUAUUAGGAUGAAUUAAUAAUUAUAAUCAUAUAUUUAGUCAUCUAGUGCCUCAAGGAACUCCAAUAAUUUUAAUACCUUUUAUAGUUUGUAUUGAAACAAUUAGAAAUAUUAUUCGACCUGGUACAUUAGCCAUCCGACUCUCAGCAAAUAUAAUUGCUGGACAUUUAAUUCUAACUUUACUUGGCAAUACAGGAAACUCUCUAUCUAUAUGAUUAAUUUGAAUUUUAAUUUUCUCUCAAUUAAUUUUAUUAAUUUUAGAAAUUGCUGUAUCUAUUAUUCAAUCUUAUGUAUUUGCUGUUUUAAGAACUCUUUAUUCUAGAGAAAUUUACUAAUGUCACAAAAUCAUCCAUUUCAUUUAGUUGAUUAUAGUCCUUGACCUUUAACUGGAGCUUUAGGAACUUUAAGUUUAACAUUAGGUAUAAUUAUAUGAUUUCAUCAAUUUAAUUAUACAUUAAUAUUAUUAGGAAUAAUAAUUACCUUAUUAACUAUAUUUCAAUGAUGACGAGAUAUUAGUCGAGAAGGAUCAUUCCAAGGUCUUCAUAGUUUAAUAGUUUCUAAAGGAUUACGAAUCGGAAUAAUUUUAUUUAUUAUUUCAGAAAUUUUAUUCUUUUUUUCUUUCUUCUGAGCAUAUUUUCAUAGAAGAUUAUCACCUUCUAUUGAAUUAGGAAUAAUUUGACCACCUUUAAAUAUUAAAAUAUUUAAUCCUUUUCAAAUCCCUCUAUUAAAUACAGCAAUUUUAUUAUCUUCAGGAAUUUCAAUUACAUGAGCUCAUCAUUCAUUACU